rnacentral:tRNA from 1 species
CUGGGGUUAUUGCUCAGUGGAAGAGCAUUUGCCUAGCAUGUAUGAGGCACUGUGUUCAAUUCUCAGCACUGCAUA